UGUCACUCCCUAGUUUCCCUUUUUCUCUCACAGUACCCACUUCACCCCAUUUUCUCAUUUUCAUUUUUUUUUCUUUUUCUUUUCUUCUUCUUCUUCUUCUACCUCUCACUUAAAGUCACAAUAAAUCCAUAGAAAGCGUAUACAUUCCCUAAGCAAGCUUCCUCAUAUUUUCACAAGUUCUUUGGUAUAAUUUUUAGCUUAGGGUUUGUGCUCUAAGGAAGGAAGAAGAAGGGUACCCAUUUCUUGAAAGUUGUUUAUUGAGACUCUUUAAGAUUUGUCAGCCGAGGUCAUGUCUGCUACUCUGAGAGUUGUUGGAGAACAAACUUAUGCGAUUUUUCAUAGUUAUUCACAGGCAGCUGAGUAGCAAGCUGUUAGUAUAUUCAAGUUUCGAUCAUAUUUGUUUUGGUAGGCCUCUUUGAUCGAUAACCUUUUUUGUGUGUAAAGUCUAUUGAGUCAUGAUGUAAUUUGCAACUAUUUUGGAGUUUAGAUAGUUUUUUUGGGAAAUGUAUUAAACAAUUAUAUUAUGCUCUUUGAAAUAUGAAUUGACUGAGUUAAUACUGUAAACAGAGAUUUUAUAAAUUUGGGAAUGUUAAAGUUACAGAGGAUACUCUGUCGAAAUUUCAAGAAAAAGUAUAUAUAUUUUUGA